rnacentral:rRNA from 1 species
UCAAGCGACUAAGUGUAUGUGGUGGAUGCCUUGGCGAUCACAGGCGAUGAAGGACGUGACAGCCUGCGAAAAGCUGUGGGGAGCUGGCAAAUAAGCUUUGAUCCACAGAUGUCCGAAUGAGGGAACUCACCUGCUUUGCAGGUAUCCCAUCCUGAAUAUAUAGGGAUGGGAGGCGAACGAAGCGAACUGAAACAUCUAAGUAGCUUCAGGAAAAGAAAUCAACCGAGAUUCCGAAAGUAGCGGCGAGCGAAAUCGGAUCAGCCCAGCACUCGAUAGCAGCCAACUUACGGGAACGGUCUGGAAAGUCCGGCCAUAGAGGGUGAUAGCCCCUUACUGGAAAAGGCAGCUGUGGUACUAAGUGUGCGAUAAGUAGAGCGGGACACGUGACAUCCUGCUCGAAGAUGGGGGGACCAUCCUCCAAGGCUAAAUACUCGUGAUCGACCGAUAGCGUACCAGUACUGUGAAGGAAAGGUUAAAAGAACCCCGGGAGGGGAGUGAAAUAGAUCCUGAAACCGCAUACAUACAAACAGUAGGAGCCUCGUUAAGGGGUGACUGCGUACCUUUUGCAUAAUGGGUCAGCGACUUACGUUUAAUGGCGAGCUUAACCGUAUAGGGGAGGCGCAGCGAAAGCGAGUUCGAACAGAGCGUUCAGUCGUUAGGCGUAGACCCGAAACCAGAUGAUCUAUCCAUGGCCAGGUUGAAGGUGUGGUAACACACACUGGAGGACCGAACCGACUAGUGUUGCAAAAUUAGCGGAUGAGCUGUGGAUAGGGGUGAAAGGCUAAACAAAUCUGGAGAUAGCUGGUUCUCCCCGAAAACUAUUGAGGUAGUGCCUCGUGUAUGACUCCAGGGGGUAGAGCACUGUUAUGGCUAGGGGGACAUGGCGUCUUACCAAACCAUGGCAAACUCCGAAUACUUGGAAGUUUGAGCACGGGAGACAGAGCACCGGGUGCUAACGUCCGGACUCAAGAGGGAAACAACCCAGACCGCCGGCUAAGGUCCCUAAUAUUGACUAAGUGGAAAACGAAGUGGAAAGGCUAAGACAGUCAGGAAGUUGGCUUAGAAGCAGCCAUCCUUCAAAGAAAGCGUAAUAGCUCACUGAUCGAGUCUUUCUGCGCGGAAGAUGUAACGGGGCUAAGUCAAUAACCGAAGCCGCGGAUUCACACUUAUGUGUGAGUGGUAGGGGAGCGUUCUGUAAGCCUGCGAAGGUGACUCGUAAGGGUUGCUGGAGGUAUCAGAAGUGCGAAUGCUGACAUGAGUAACGUUAAAGCGGGUGAAAAGCCCGCUCGCCGUAAGCCCAAGGUUUCCUGCUCUACGUUCAUCGGAGCAGGGUGAGUCGGCCCCUAAGGUGAGGCUGAGAAGCGUAACUGAUGGGAACAAGGUUAAUAUUCCUUGACCACCGCUGAAUGCGAAGGGGGGACGGAGUAUUGAAGAUCAUCCGGGUGUUGGAUAUCCCGGUUUGCGAGCGUAGGAGGCUGACAGGCAAAUCCGUCAGCGGAUCUCCGAGGCGAAGCAUCGAGCUCUCUUUUGAGCGAAGUGAUUGGAUGUGCUUCCAGGAAAAGCCUCUAAGCUCCAGUUCAGCGGGACCGUACCGCAAACCGACACUGGUGGGCGAGCUGAAUAUGCUCAGGCGCUUGAGAGAACUCAGGAGAAGGAACUCGGCAAAUUGACACCGUAACUUCGGGAUAAGGUGUGCCUUUGUAGCGUGGAGGGAGAAACACCCCGAGCGCGAAGAGGUCUCAGAUAAUCGGUGGCUGCGACUGUUUAUUAAAAACACAGCACUCUGCAAAGACGAAAGUCGACGUAUAGGGUGUGAUGCCUGCCCGGUGCUGGAAGAUUAAUUGAUGGGGUGCAAGCUCCUGAUCGAAGUCCCAGUAAACGGCGGCCGUAACUAUAACGGUCCUAAGGUAGCGAAAUUCCUUGUC